rnacentral:tRNA from 1 species
CCUUAGAUAGCUCAGUUGGUAGAGCGGAGGACUGUAGAUCCUUAGGUCGCUGGUUCAACUCCGGCUCGAAGGA